UACACACCUUUCUUAUCAAUUGCAAAUUUUUAUAGAAACUUUUUUUAUCUUUAGUUCCAGGUGUUCAACCUUCUGCUGGAAAAUUUAUGAUUUAAAAAUGUUUCUUAAUGAUUAUUAAAUUUAUGUUUAUAUUUAUAUACACUACUUAAUGCAUUAGUGUUAUGUUAUCCCUCAAAGUGCAGCAGAAUGAAAUUAUUACUCCCAUUAAUAUUGUUUAAGUUAUCAUUGAUUAAUACGUUGUUCAUAUUAUUUAUUCAGCCUAUCACUUUUGCAAUUAAUUGUUUUAUAUUAAAUUUUACAUAAUGCCAUUCAAUACUAAUCUAUUAACGAAUCAUUGUCAUUUAGAGCUAACCUAUCAAGACUACCUAUUAUAUAGGUCCAAGCAUCCUGGACCCACCAGCAAUAGUUCAUUUAAGCGAUGGGUCCGGUUAGGAGGAAGAGACAAUAAUUCUUUUAAAUGGCCCUAUCAUCCUCCUAACAAUGGUGCUGCGAGCCGCAGCAGAAGGGAAGGUGGUCGAGAUCGUGGAAGUGGAGGAAGCAGAGGGAGAAGAUGGAAUGGUGGCAGCCUAGUGGUUCAUGGAGAUUAUUACAAUUAUUAGGCACCACCAUCCUUUUUUUUUUUUAAUUUUAAAUUAUUUAAUUUCUGCAAGUUUAUUUUCCGUUUUUUCCCAAUUUAUACAAUUAUAACAUUUGCUUUAUAUUUUUUCAAACUUUUACCCAAAAAAAUUUAAAAGCAAAACAUUGUAAUAAUCCCAAUGAAAUACUUUUUACACUUUUAAAAGUUGUAUUAUAUAAAUUUGUAAAGUUUACACUAUAGAUAGAUGUGGACCUUUCAAUAGAAUUAGGUUUUUUUUUUAAGACUUUGUAGCCCACGUUAAAUGUAAUUUUAAAUUUAUGUGUAAUAUUUCAAAUGUUGAUAAAUGUGAAGUGUAUUUUGCAAACUUAUUUACUAUUCUUGUUUUAGUUUAUUAAAAAUGUUUGUUUGACUUUAUUAAUAGUUAUUUGAUUUUAUGUUAUUGUACCCUAUGUUUACAGUUCCUAAAAAUUAUAUUUGCAUUAUUGAGGUUAAAAUAUCAGUUUCUUGUAAUCGUAACUUGUUUAAAGAAGGGUGGAUACUCCAACUUGCAUUUUGUAAUGUGGUUGGAUACGACUGGGCAGGAAGGGGGGGCGUUUGGCAUGGCACAUGUCCCGUCCCUUAUGUAAACUUAUACACCACUUGUAUAUGCUGUAAAGUAAGAAAAUUUAAUUUAAAAUAUUUCAUACAAAAUAUAAUCAUUGUUUUUUAGGUUCAAAUAUUUAUAACAAUGUAGCAUUUCACUACGAGGGUGUUAAAACGUAGCAAAGACCUCCACCCUUCAAUCUAAAAUAGACCACUAAUAUUUGGAAAUGGAUUGGAAGCAAAUCAAACAAUUUUUUGUGUAUAAAGAUGACAUAUUUUAUCAGAAAAAAACUCUUUCGUGUGAAAAACUUGUAUUUUUUUAAGGGUACGAGGGUGUUCCGGUACCCCCUCCGGUCCUCUAGACACCCCUUUCAUCUAUAGAGUUAUAUGAACUUGUAGCCUACUCUUACAUCUAUCUUUUGAUACCAAGGUAUAGACAUUUGGAUAAGAUUUGACAAAGUUAUAACAAUUUUAGU
rnacentral:lncRNA from 1 species